rnacentral:rRNA from 1 species
ACGAACGCUGGCGGCAUGCCUAACACAUGCAAGUCGAACGGUGGUUUCACUUCGGUGAUGCCACAGUGGCGCACGGGUGAGUAACACGUGGGAACCUGCCUUUCGGUUCGGGAUAACGUCUGGAAACGGACGCUAACACCGGAUACGCCCCCCAAAGAGAUUUGGGCGGGGAAAGUUUACGCCGAGAGAGGGGCCCGCGUCCGAUUAGGUAGUUGGUGGGGUAACGGCCUACCAAGCCGACGAUCGGUAGCUGGUCUGAGAGGAUGAUCAGCCACACUGGGACUGAGACACGGCCCAGACUCCUACGGGAGGCAGCAGUGGGGAAUAUUGGACAAUGGGGGCAACCCUGAUCCAGCAAUGCCGCGUGAGUGAUGAAGGCCUUAGGGUUGUAAAGCUCUUUCGCACGCGACGAUGAUGACGGUAGCGUGAGAAGAAGCCCCGGCUAACUUCGU